rnacentral:lncRNA from 1 species
GGGAGUUUGUUAGGAAAAUGUGUAAUUGGCAAUCUGUGACCAAAGGACCUAUUUGUCAAAAUUGUAAAGUCAAGGACCAAAUUGUAAAGGUCUAAUAGUUCAGGGACUAAAGUUGCAAUUUAGCAAAGUUCAUAGCAUAGGUCUAGGGUAAAGUGAGAUGCUUUGAAGAUGCAAACGGCGCGUUGAUUUCGCUAGAGUUUCGCCCUGACCUCGCUCGAGCCUAAAUU